rnacentral:rRNA from 1 species
UACGGAGGGUGCAAGCGUUAUCCGGAUUCACUGGGUUUAAAGGGUGCGUAGGUGGGUCUGUAAGUCCGUGGUGAAAUCUCCGAGCUUAACUUGGAAACUGCCAUGGAUACUAUAGGUCUUGAAUACUGUGGAGGUCAGCGGAAUAUGUCAUGUAGCGGUGAAAUGCUUAGAUAUGACAUAGAACACCAAUUGCGAAGGCAGCUGGCUACACAAAUAUUGACGCUGAGGCACGAAAGCGUGGGGAUCAAACAGG